GACGUAGGAGGCGAGCGUUGUCCGGAUUCAUUGGGCGUAAAGAGCACGCAGGCGGUUUGGCAAGUCGGAUGUGAAAACCCGAAGCUCAACUUCGGGCCUGCAUCCGAAACUGCCCGACUAGAGGUAGGUAGGGGAGAUCGGAAUUCCUGGCGUAGCGGUGAAAUGCGCAGAUAUCAGGAGGAACACCGGUGGCGAAGGCGGAUCUCUGGGCCUUACCUGACGCUCAGGUGCGAAAGCUAGGGGAGCGAACAGG
rnacentral:rRNA from 1 species